UGAACAAUGGGCAAUCUAAAACCAAUGUUUCGUAUUCACCUCCUUCACCGCAAGGAUGCAGUUCGAAUUUUUUAUUUAGGGUAAGAAGUUUAUCUUGCAUUUCAGCUAGAGAUUUCCCCAAAUCCUUCCUCGUAAGGCCAAUUGCAGCUACUUUGAUCAAGAUGGCAUUCAAACCAGAAACAACCAUAUCGUUGAGUAAUUUUUCCUGAUCUUUUUGCCAAAGAAAAGACAAGCUUUUCAAACCUAACCGUUUGCAAACAUUUUCUACUCGAGUCCGUUGAUAUGUGGAAAGUAUAGCGCCGGUAGAAACGGCUUCGAGAUCUGGAUGAUUUGUCAAUACACGCUUUAUGAGUCUAUAUAAGUCUUCUGUUUCAUCCUUUUCUGUAAAUUGAUAAUCCAAGUUUUGAUUGAUACUUUGUCCACCGAUUUUCUCUCGAUAUAACGGUAGAUCGAAGCAUUCAGCAUACAAUGGAAUUACAUCGUGUCCAACACUUUGGUACAUGAAAGAGUCAAUCUCAUCUUUACCAUCUUCAGGAUGAAGAUUUGCUAGGGCUACUACUUCAUGGCCUAAAGAGACGCAAUGCAUCAAGUUGAAGCAGCUAUCCUUUCCACCGCUGAUUAGCCCUAAGACCUUCAUUAAUGGUUUUUCUUAACUCUAAAAUACUUGUAAAUUUCCCUAUUUUUCAGUUCAAGCUUUCUUCGUGUUUGUAUAUGGCAACAUUAAUUGUUUACUUCAAAAACAUAUAUAAAUAACGACAUUACUACAAUACGGUAUUUAUCAAUGAUCAAGAUAUAUUGACUAAAUAAACUAAAAGAACUCGAAAUCUAAUAAUACAAAUUAAGACAAAAAAUUUAAAUGUUAAAACUUUAUGCUUGAAACCAACACGUAAAGUAUAGCUCCGAUCUCCACAGUAACGUAGGAUGAGGAUAGAAAGGUUCAUGAUGAAAAGACGCUUGCGGCUGAACAUAAACAAAGCAAUCUUCCAUUAAUGAACAAUGAAAGGAGAAAGAACUAAAAAUUAGCAAAGAUAUACUUCAGGAAUAUAACACUAUCGCUUUAUUUCAUCAUUCACAGCACUAAAACCGCUCAGCAGUUUGUGCAAAUUAAAGUGAAGGACGAAAUAAAACAGAUAAAAAAAUUACUGCCAAGGAAAAAAAGAGGCAGAAAGAAGAGCAAAAUUAAGGGUAACAACCAACAAAAACCGGC